UGGAAUCGCUAGUAAUCGCGGAUCAGCACGCCGCGGUGAAUACGUUCCCGGGCCUUGUACACACCGCCCGUCACACCAUGGGAGUUUGUAACGCCCAAAGUCGGUGGCCUAACCUUUAUGGAGGGAGCCGCCUAAGGCGGGACAGAUGACUGGGGUGAAGUCGUAACAAGGUACC
rnacentral:rRNA from 1 species